UACGUAGGGUGCGAGCGUUGUCCGGAAUUACUGGGCGUAAAGAGCUCGUAGGCGGUUUGUCGCGUCGUCCGUGAAAACUUGGGGCUCAACCCCAAGCUUGCGGGCGAUACGGGCAGACUUGAGUACUGCAGGGGAGACUGGAAUUCCUGGUGUAGCGGUGAAAUGCGCAGAUAUCAGGAGGAACACCGGUGGCGAAGGCGGGUUGCUGGGCUGAUACUGACGCUGAGGCGCGAAAGCCAGGGGAGCGAACGGG
rnacentral:rRNA from 1 species